rnacentral:rRNA from 1 species
UGGGGAAUAUUGGACAAUGGGCGCAAGCCUGAUCCAGCCAUGCCGCGUGAGUGAUGAAGGCCUUAGGGUUGUAAUGCUCUUUUUGGCGGGGACGAUAAUGACGGUACCCGCAGAAUAAGCCCCGGCUAACUUCGUGCCAGCAGCCGCGGUAAUACGAAGGGGGCUAGCGUUGUUCGGAAUUACUGGGCGUAAAGCGCACGUAGGCGGGUCGGCAAGUCAGGGGUGAAAUCCCGGGGCUCAACCUCGGAACUGCCUCUGAUACUGCCAGUCUAGAGUCCGGAAGAGGUGGGUGGAAUUCCUAGUGUAGAGGUGAAAUUCGCAGAUAUUAGGAAGAACACCGGUGGCGAAGGCGGCCCACUGGUCCGGUACUGACGCUGAGGUGCGAAAGCGUGGGGAGCAAACAGGAUUAGAUACCCAUGUAGUCCCUGAGCGGGCUGGCAAGGCGCAU